rnacentral:rRNA from 1 species
CCUACGGGAGGCAGCAGUGGGGAAUUUUGCGCAAUGGGGGCAACCCUGACGCAGCAACGCCGCGUGAGUGAUGAAGGCCUUCGGGUCGUAAAGCUCUGUCAGAGGGGAAGAAAUGCAGGUGGUGAACAACCAUUCUGUUUGACGGUACCCUCAAAGGAAGCACCGGCUAACUCCGUGCCAGCAGCCGCGGUAAUACGGAGGGUGCGAGCGUUAAUCGGAAUUACUGGGCGUAAAGCGCGUGUAGGCGGUUUGUAAAGUCUGAUGUAAAAGCCCCGGGCUCAACCUGGAAAGUGCAUUGGAUACUGGCAGGCUGGAGUACGGGAGAGGAGAGUGAAAUUCCCGGUGUAGGAGUGAAAGCCGUAGAUAUUGGGAGGAACACCGGUGGCGAGGGCGGCUCUC